rnacentral:rRNA from 1 species
CAGGCCUAACACAUGCAAGUCGAGCGGCAGCGACAACAUUGAUCCUUCGGAUGAUUUGUUUGGGCGGCGAGCGGCGGACGGGUGAGUAAUGGCUGGGAACCUGCCUGGUAGAGGGGGAUAACCACUGGAAACGGUGGCUAAUACCGCAUGAUGUCUACGGACCAAAGAGGGGGACCUUCGGGCCUCUCGCUACCGGAUGGGCCCAGUUGGGAUUAGCUAGUUGGUGGGGUAAAGGCUCACCAAGGCGACGAUCCCUAGCUGGUUUGAGAGGAUGAUCACCCACACUGGAACU